UAUAUUGAUUGAGUCUUAACUCAAUUGGUAUGUGUAUUGUUGUCAAUACAGGGGGACGUGAAUUCGAAUGCGCUCAAGCGCAUUAUCCUCCUAUUUAUGGGUAGGGGAGGGGCUAUGGAUAGUUCUAGGCAUUGUGUCACAAAAAGUAGAUAUAAUCAAAACCUAACAAUAGGUGAAAAUGGUAGUUAAUACUUCGUUGGCUAAGGAGAAAAAGGAGGAAUUCGCCUAAAGAGGGGCUCAUGUCUAAUUAGUUAGUUGGUGAGGCAAUAGUUUACCAAGGCGAUGAUCGAUAGCUAGUUUGAGAGGACGAGCAGCCACACCAGGACUCAGCCAUGGCUUAUACAAAUGAUGCAAGCGCUAUCCGAAAUGAUUGGGCUUAAAGUGUUUGUAGGUGGCUUUUUAAGUCUGUUGUCAAAUCCCAGGGCUCAACCCUGGUUAGGCAGUGGAAACUACCAAGUUAGAGUACAAUAAAGGUAGAGGAAAUUUCUGGUGGAGCGGUGAAAUGCAUAGAGAUUGAAAAGAACACCAAUGGCAAAAGCCCACUUCUUUCCUAUACUACGAGUGAAAGGAAAAAUCUAAAGACUACCAUUAUAGCAGCCCAAAAAAGACUUAUUAUAUCCAUG
rfam:Gossypium raimondii Chr11_contig_1421, whole genome shotgun sequence.